UCUGAAACCUUUGCAGCAAAUUGACCAGUGGAGGCAUCAUCAACUGUUGAUAAGGCGUCACAAUGGUCUUCAUGAACCUCCAGUGAGUUAUCCUGUUUUUGUUUUAAAUCUGAUGAGGUUGGCAUUAUUUUUUCCUUGGUACAAUAACUUUUCAAUACAUCCAGUUGUUGUUCACCAGAAAAUCCAAGCACUUCUGGUGUACUCCAGACAUUACAUAUCUCAUCACCAUUUUCUGGACUGGAGCGUUCAUCAGUUGAUAUGGUAUUUCGAUCAGAUUUGGAGAGGCC
rnacentral:lncRNA from 1 species